GCCACCUUAUUUUAUAUUAUAUCUAAAACUAAGCAUUCUGGGUGUUCUCGGUUCUGGGGACGGUACAGUCACUCCAUUUUCCCAGAAGCACAGGGCCCUAACGCUGCUUUUUUUCAUACGUCAUCAUAACAGAAAGGAUGUGUACAGGCUUGCUAGGCCUUUUCUACUGUAUGGAAAGCCAUAAGUGAAUAGGAAGGCAUCUUAGAAAAUCAGUUACUUAUUUUUGUUUUGUUUUUUAAAACUUGAAAAGAUACAUCCCUGCCAACAAUUUUCUGUUUCCCUUCUUUCAAGAUGAUGUAAGGAAAGAACCAUGGCUUCAGAGAAAGGACAAUAAAGACGGCUCUGGGAGUUUGCGUGUUUUUGCUAAGGUCAGAGGUUAACAUCGAGUGUUUCUCAAUCGGUCUCCACCUUACAUUGUAAGACAUGAUGUGUCACUGAACCUGGAGCUCACAGAUUCGAUUAGACUGGGUAGCCAUCAAGCCACAGAGAUCCUCCCAUCUCUGCCUCCCCAGCAAUGGUAUUACAGGAAUUUAACACCAUGCUCAGGUGUGUGUGCCUGAGUUGCAAGUGCCCACUGAGUCCAGAAGAAGGUGUUGGAUCCCCUGGAACUG